CAGAUUGAACGCUGGCGGCAGGCCUAACACAUGCAAGUCGAGCGGUAGCACAGAGAGCUUGCUCUCGGGUGACGAGCGGCGGACGGGUGAGUAAUGUCUGGGAAACUGCCUGAUGGAGGGGGAUAACUACUGGAAACGGUAGCUAAUACCGCAUAACGUCGCAAGACCAAAGAGGGGGACCUUCGGGCCUCUUGCCAUCAGAUGUGCCCAGAUGGGAUUAGCUAGUAGGUGGGGUAACGGCUCACCUAGGCGACGAUCCCUAGCUGGUCUGAGAGGAUGACCAGCCACACUGGAACUGAGACACGGUCCAGACUCCUACGGGAGGCAGCAGUGGGGAAUAUUGCACAAUGGGCGCAAGCCUGAUGCAGCCAUGCCGCGUGUAUGAAGAAGGCCUUCGGGUUGUAAAGUACUUUCAGCGGGGAGGAAGGUGUUGAGGUUAAUAUACCUUAGUCGAUUGACGUUACCCGCAGAAGAAGCACCGGCUAACUCCGUGCCAGCAGCCGCGGUAAUACGGAGGGUGCAAGCGUUAAUCGGAAUUACUGGGCGUAAAGCGCACGCAGGCGGUCUGUCAAGUCGGAUGUGAAAUCCCCGGGCUCAACCUGGGAACUGCAUUCGAAACUGGCAGGCUAGAGUCUUGUAGAGGGGGGUAGAAUUCCAGGUGUAGCGGUGAAAUGCGUAGAGAUCUGGAGGAAUACCGGUGGCGAAGGCGGCCCCCUGGACAAAGACUGACGCUCAGGUGCGAAAGCGUGGGGAGCAAACAGGAUUAGAUACCCUGGUAGUCCACGCCGUAAACGAUGUCGAUUUGGAGGUUGUGCCCUUGAGGCGUGGCUUCCGGAGCUAACGCGUUAAGUCGACCGCCUGGGGAGUACGGCCGCAAGGUUAAAACUCAAAUGAAUUGACGGGGGCCCGCACAAGCGGUGGAGCAUGUGGUUUAAUUCGAUGCAACGCGAAGAACCUUACCUGGUCUUGACAUCCAGAGAACUUUGCAGAGAUGGUUUGGUGCCUUCGGGAACUGUGAGACAGGUGCUGCAUGGCUGUCGUCAGCUCGUGUUGUGAAAUGUUGGGUUAAGUCCCGCAACGAGCGCAACCCUUAUCCUUUGUUGCCAGCGGUUAGGCCGGGAACUCAAAGGAGACUGCCAGUGAUAAACUGGAGGAAGGUGGGGAUGACGUCAAGUCAUCAUGGCCCUUACGAGUAGGGCUACACACGUGCUACAAUGGCGCAUACAAAGAGAAGCGACCUCGCGAGAGCAAGCGGACCUCAUAAAGUGCGUCGUAGUCCGGAUUGGAGUCUGCAACUCGACUCCAUGAAGUCGGAAUCGCUAGUAAUCGUAGAUCAGAAUGCUACGGUGAAUACGUUCCCGGGCCUUGUACACACCGCCCGUCACACCAUGGGAGUGGGUUGCAAAAGAAGUAGGUAGCU
rnacentral:rRNA from 1 species